UGGCGGCAGGCCUAACACAUGCAAGUCGAACGGCAGCACGGGAGCAAUCCUGGUGGCGAGUGGCGAACGGGUGAGUAAUAUAUCGGAACGUGCCCAGUCGUGGGGGAUAACGUAGCGAAAGCUACGCUAAUACCGCAUACGAUCUAUGGAUGAAAGCGGGGGAUCGCAAGACCUCGCGCGAUUGGAGCGGCCGAUAUCAGAUUAGGUAGUUGGUGAGGUAAAGGCUCACCAAGCCGACGAUCUGUAGCUGGUCUGAGAGGACGACCAGCCACACUGGGACUGAGACACGGCCCAGACUCCUACGGGAGGCAGCAGUGGGGAAUUUUGGACAAUGGGCGCAAGCCUGAUCCAGCAAUGCCGCGUGCAGGAUGAAGGCCUUCGGGUUGUAAACUGCUUUGUACGGAACGAAACGGUGAGCUCUAAUACAGUUUGCUAAUGACGGUACCGUAAGAAUAAGCACCGGCUAACUACGUG
rnacentral:rRNA from 1 species